CCUACGGGUGGCAGCAGUGAGGAAUAUUGGUCAAUGGGCGCGAGCCUGAACCAGCCAAGCAGCGUGAAGGAUGACUGCCCUACGGGUUGUAAACUUCUUUUAUAAAAGAAUAAAGUGAGGCACGUGUACCUUUUUGUAAGUACUUUAUGAAUAAGGAUCGGCUAACUCCGUGCCAGCAGCCGCGGUAAUACGGAGGAUCCGAGCGUUAUCCGGAUUUAUUGGGUUUAAAGGGAGCGUAGAUGGGUUGUUAAGUCAGUUGUGAAAUUUUGCGGCUCAACCGUAGAAUUGCAACUGAUACUGGCCGUCUUGAGUGCAGUUGCGGUAGGCGGAAUGCGUGGUGUAGCGGUGAAAUGCUUAGAUAUCACGAAGAACACCGAUUGCGAAGGCAGCUUACUAAGCUGCCACUGACAUUGAUGCACGAAAGUGUGGGUAUCAAACAGGAUUAGAUACCCGAGUAGUC
rnacentral:rRNA from 1 species